UACGUAGGGACCAAGCGUUGUUCGGAUUUACUGGGCGUAAAGGGCGCGUAGGCGGUCAGCACAAGUCAGUUGUGAAGUCUCCGGGCUUAACUCGGAAAGGUCAACUGAUACUGUGCGACUAGAGUGCAGAAGGGGCAACUGGAAUUCCUGGUGUAGCGGUGAAAUGCGCAGAUAUCAGGAGGAACACCGGUGGCGAAGGCGGGUCUCUGGGCCGAUACUGACGCUGAGGAGCGAAAGCGUGGGGAGCGAACAGG
rnacentral:rRNA from 1 species